AGCGAACGCUGGCGGCAGGCCUAACACAUGCAAGUCGAACGGACCCUUCGGGGUUAGUGGUGGACGGGUGAGUAACACGUGGGAACGUGCCUUUAGGUUCGGAAUAGCUCCUGGAAACGGGUGGUAAUGCCGAAUGUGGCCUUUGGUGGAAAGAUUUAUCGCCUUUAGAGCGGCCCGCGUCUGAUUAGCUAGUUGGUGAGGUAAUGGCUCACCAAGGCGACGAUCAGUAGCUGGUCUGAGAGGAUGACCAGCCACAUUGGGACUGAGACACGGCCCAAACUCCUACGGGAGGCAGCAGUGGGGAAUCUUGCGCAAUGGGCGAAAGCCUGACGCAGCCAUGCCGCGUGGAUGAUGAAGGUCUUAGGAUUGUAAAAUCCUUUCACCGGUGAAGAUAAUGACUGUAGCCGGAGAAGAAGCCCCGGCUAACUUCGUGCCAGCCGCCGCGGUAAUAC
rnacentral:rRNA from 1 species